AAAUUGAAGAGUUUGAUCAUGGCUCAGAUUGAACGCUGGCGGCAGGCCUAACACAUGCAAGUCGAACGGUAACAGGAAGCAGCUUGCUGCUUCGCUGACGAGUGGCGGACGGGUGAGUAAUGUCUGGGAAACUGCCUGAUGGAGGGGGAUAACUACUGGAAACGGUGGCUAAUACCGCAUAACGUCGCAAGACCAAAGAGGGGGACCUUCGGGCCUCUUGCCAUCAGAUGUGCCCAGAUGGGAUUAGCUUGUUGGUGAGGUAACGGCUCACCAAGGCGACGAUCCCUAGCUGGUCUGAGAGGAUGACCAGCCACACUGGAACUGAGACACGGUCCAGACUCCUACGGGAGGCAGCAGUGGGGAAUAUUGCACAAUGGGCGCAAGCCUGAUGCAGCCAUGCCGCGUGUAUGAAGAAGGCCUUCGGGUUGUAAAGUACUUUCAGCGGGGAGGAAGGUGUUGUGGUUAAUAACCGCAGCAAUUGACGUUACCCGCAGAAGAAGCACCGGCUAACUCCGUGCCAGCAGCCGCGGUAAUACGGAGGGUGCAAGCGUUAAUCGGAAUUACUGGGCGUAAAGCGCACGCAGGCGGUCUGUCAAGUCGGAUGUGAAAUCCCCGGGCUCAACCUGGGAACU
rnacentral:rRNA from 1 species